CACGGUAAACAUCAUCAAAAAAUUCUUCCCCACACACUCUCUCUCUCUCUCUCUUCUCUUUUCCUCGCAGUCGCUCAUCGUUCUACGCCGUCACGGCCGUUGCUCGCACUGUCGCGGUUGUCGCUUGCUGCGGCAGGUCCGCCGCAUAUCCCGCCAUCGUCACAGGCGAAGUAGUAUGGGGUCUGAUCAAUCCAGUUGUUGUAUAGAGACAACAAAUCUAAGAAGUAUCUACUCGUUGGGACCAUUCUCGCUUUGUUGUUUAGUUUCUCUCCGACGAGAACGUACUCUAUGUCUCUCUCUGUUUGUGUGUUCUAUUUUCAGAUCUGAAUCAGAUGGUGAAGAGCUUGUAUAUUUUUCUGUGUUUGGUUGCUAAGAAAUAUAAAAAGAAAUUAAUUCGUUUUAGAAAUUUCAGUUAAUGUUAAUCAAGAUAAUGUGUGUUUUGGUUAUUCUUGCAUGUAGGGUUUGGAUUUCUUGUGAUUUGAAAAUCUCUACUUUUGCCUUUUUCUUUUUUCUUUUGGUUUCUCUACUAUUGUUGUUUAGUUCUUAAUUUAAAUGAUACAUUUGUGGUUCUGGAAACAAAAUAUUUUUUCUUGUUUCUUGAGUGUUAA